rnacentral:rRNA from 1 species
AGUGAACGCUGGCGGUAGGCCUAACACAUGCAAGUCGAACGGCAGCACAGUAAGAGCUUGCUCUUACGGGUGGCGAGUGGCGGACGGGUGAGGAAUACAGCGGAAUCUACUUUUUCGUGGGGGAUAACGUAGGGAAACUUACGCUAAUACCGCAUACGACCUACGGGUGAAAGCAGGGGAUCUUCGGACCUUGCGCGAUUGAAUGAGCCGAUGUCGGAUUAGCUAGUUGGCGGGGUAAAGGCCCACCAAGGCGACGAUCCGUAGCUGGUCUGAGAGGAUGAUCAGCCCCACUGGAACUGAGACACGGUCCAGACUCCUACGGGAGGCAGCAGUGGGGAAUAUUGGACAAUGGGCGCAAGCCUGAUCCAGCCAUACCGCGUGGGUGAAGAAGGCCUUCGGGUUGUAAAGCCCUUUUGUUGGGAAAGAAAAGCAGCAGGUUAAUACCCCGCUGUUCUGACGGUACCCAAAGAAUAAGCACCGGCUAACUUCGUG